CAGUCGCCGCGGGAAUACGAAGGGGGCUAGCGUUGUUCGGAUUUACUGGGCGUAAAGGGCGCGUAGGCGGACUGAUAAGUCAGGGGUGAAAUCCCAAGGCUCAACCUUGGAACUGCCUUUGAUACUGUUUGUCUUGAGUUCGAGAGAGGUAAGUGGAACUGCGAGUGUAGAGGUGAAAUUCGUAGAUAUUCGCAAGAACACCAGUGGCGAAGGCGGCUUACUGGCUCGAAACUGACGCUGAGGCGCGAAAGCGUGGGGAGCAAACAGGAUUAGAUACCCCUGUAGUCCCUGUCUCUUAUAU
rnacentral:rRNA from 1 species